CAGGACGUGGCUGAGUUAGACAAGCAUCCCACUUACACCGAGAAGACAUCCAUGCAAUCUGGAUCGUCCUGA
rnacentral:tRNA from 1 species